CUGGGCGUAAGCGUGCGCAGGCGGUUGUGCAAGACCGAUGUGAAUCCCCGGGCUCAACCUGGGAACUGCAUUGGUGACUGCACGGCUAGAGUGUGGCAGAGGGGGGUGGAAUUCCACGUGUAGCAGUGAAAUGCGUAGAGAUGUGGAGGAACACCGAUGGCGAAGGCAGCCCCCUGGAAUAACACUGACGCUCAUGCACGAAAGCGUGGGGAGCAAACAGGAUUAGAUACCCUGGUAGUCCACGCCCUAAACGAUGUCAACUAGUUGUUGGGGAUUCAUUUCCUUAGUAACGUAGCUAACGCGUGAAGUUGACCGCCUGGGGAGUACGGUCGCAAGAUUAAAACUCAAAGGAAUUUGACGG
rnacentral:rRNA from 2 species